ACAUAUAGUUGAAGAUUGAUCCCGGGCCGCUUGGGUGGGUCCGCAGAAGUCGCCACUUAUGCGAGAUGUGUGGGAAGGAAAGGACCUCCGUUGUCCCACAACUGGCGGGCACUCAAUUUGCAUUUGAUAUCAGGUGUCGAAGACGGAGACGACUCCAUCGUCACUGCCAUUUCCCGAGAGGAGCGAGGACGCCUGAAACGAGGAAUUUCGAAUCGCGAGGCGUCACUGGCUUUCGUCACCGGCGUCACAUGUACUAUCGUCGGCGGCACUUGAUCUCCUUAUCCCUUCUCACAACGGCUGCUUGUUCGGAUGAGGAACUACUACUGCCGCAGCAUCUCUGAGCCCUGAAUGCUCUUCUCGACCCUUUGCUGGAGUGCUCAUCGGCCCUUUUGAUUAAGAGCCGAAGUGACCUGAUUUUGGGUGGCAUUGGCUGAGGACUUCUUAUGGGAGGGUAGUGCAGUGUCGUCAGCGCACCUCAAGUUGUGCACUGUAGCUGGAAGAGAAAGCUCGGCCAAGGGCAUGUCCCACCACUGAUGAAGGAGGCCCAGCCGCUAUAUUUAAAGCCCAGGCCGCAUGGCUCAGUAUGACCUCGUGGUGGAGAAGGCACCAAGGUACUGGCAACACCAUCUACAGGAUGCUGGCAAACACUCUCUGAGGUGUGACCAUCAAAUGGACGGCCUUAGAAUCUUUCCCGCAUUCCACUGAACUACCUCCCCUUGAGACGGACUGUUUGCUAUCCUAUGUGAACUUUGUGGUAUUUCACAUAUCCCUUCCUUACCGACGCCCUGAGGAAGACGAAACUCAUCUCUGACAGAGGGCAAUUGGCAAAUUGCAAGGUUAUUAGCAGUCAGUCCCAUCUACAGUCUCUGACUUAAUUUCCUUUUCAUCUUCUUGAGUGAUUCCUGUGUUGUGUUAUAACAGUAUAGUGUUGUGGGCCAUUAGCCGAAGAGUGUCUGUGUUAAGUAACAUAAAUUCUUUCUAAGUUAAUAGUAACGUCCAUUCUUUCUUUGUAAGAGAUCAGUAACAUAACUUAUUCUUUUAUGAGAUCGAGUUGUUUGAUACCUUAUGUACACAUCCCCCUCGAUGAUCAACCACGUGUCUUACACAACCUGCUCAGUCCCCAACUGCUCUCGUUAGGGGAUCAAAGUUGAGCAGCUGUGGAUUCUGGAUUCUCGCCUCGUGUGCCUUGGGAAAUUUCCCCCCUUUGCUUCCUACACUCCACAUGCUUAGAAACCUGUA